rnacentral:lncRNA from 14 species
GUAUGUACACGUAUGUAUGUACAUGUAUGUUUAUGUGUGUAUGUAUGUACAUGUAUGUACACGUAUGUAUGUACAUGUCUGUACGCACACAUGUAUGUACAUGCCUGUACAUGUGUAUGUACACGUGUAUACGUACAUGUAUGUGUAUGUACAUGUAUAUGCAUGUGCACAUAUGUACAUAUGUAUGUACAUGUAUGUACGUGUAUGUGUGCGCAUGUGUAUACAGGUUUGUGUGUACAUGUGUGUGUAUGGACACGUGUGUGUAUGUACAUAGGACUGCGUAUACGUACAUGUAUGUACGUGUAUGUGUGUGCAUGUACAUGUGUGUACAGGUAUGUGCGUGUGUACAUGUGUGUGUAUGAACACGUGUGUGUAUGUACACGGCUGUGUACAUGUGUGUACGUACAUGUAUGUAUGUACGGGUGCAUAUGCAUGUCUAUGUAUGUACAUGUGUGUGCACAUAGGAACGUAUGUGCAUACAUAUGUGUACAUACGUGUAUGUACGUGUGUAUGUACAUGUGCAUAUGCACAUGUGUGUAUGUACAUGUGUGUGCACAUAGGAACGUGUGUGCAUACGUGUGUACAUACGUGUAUGUACAUGUAUGUACGCGUGUGUAGGUACAUGUGUGUACAUAUAUGGGUAUGUAUAUGCAUGUAAACGUACAUGUAUGUAUAUGUACAUGGAUAUGUGUGUGCAUGUGCGUGUACAUGGAUGUGUAUGUACAUGUAUGUGCAUGUAUUUCUAUAUACAUGUACGUGUAUGUAUGUGCGUGCAUGCACAUGUAUGUAUAUGUCCGUGUAUGUGUAUGUACAUCCGUGCAUGUACAUGUAUCUAUAUGUCCGUGUAUGUGUAUGUAUGUGUGUGCAUGUACAUGUAUGUAUAUGUCCGUGCAUGUGCAUGUAUGUACAUGUAUGUGUAUGCGUGUGCAUAUCCAAUCCCCAUUCCCUGUUAUCCAAUCCCCAUUCCCUAUUAUCCCAAUCCCCAUUCCCUGUUAUCCCAAUCCCCAUUCCCUGUUAUCCCAAUCCCAUUCCCUGUUAUCCAAUCCCAUUCCCUAUUAUCCCAACCCCAUUCCCUGUUAUCCCAAUCCCCAUUCCCUAUUAUCCCAAUCCCAUUCCCUGU